CAGCAGCCACGGUAAUACGUUGGUGGCAAGCGUUGUCCGGAAUUAUUGGGCGUAAAGGGCUCGCAGGCGGUUUCUUAAGUCUGAUGUGAAAGCCCCCGGCUCAACCGGGGAGGGUCAUUGGAAACUGGGAAACUUGAGUGCAGAAGAGGAGAGUGGAAUUCCACGUGUAGCGGUGAAAUGCGUAGAGAUGUGGAGGAACACCAGUGGCGAAGGCGACUCUCUGGUCUGUAACUGACGCUGAGGAGCGAAAGCGUGGGGAGCGAACAGGAUUAGAUACCCCUGUAGUCCCUGUCUCUUAUAC
rnacentral:rRNA from 1 species